AUGAACGCUAGCUACAGGCUUAACACAUGCAAGUCGAGGGGCAGCAUGAACUUAGCUUGCUAAGUUUGAUGGCGACCGGCGCACGGGUGAGUAACACGUAUCCAACCUGCCGAUGACUCGGGGAUAGCCUUUCGAAAGAAAGAUUAAUACCCGAUGGCAUAGUUCUUCCGCAUGGUAGAACUAUUAAAGAAUUUCGGUCAUCGAUGGGGAUGCGUUCCAUUAGGUUGUUGGCGGGGUAACGGCCCACCAAGCCUUCGAUGGAUAGGGGUUCUGAGAGGAAGGUCCCCCACAUUGGAACUGAGACACGGUCCAAACUCCUACGGGAGGCAGCAGUGAGGAAUAUUGGUCAAUGGACGAGAGUCUGAACCAGCCAAGUAGCGUGAAGGAUGACUGCCCUAUGGGUUGUAAACUUCUUUUAUACGGGAAUAAAGUGAGGCACGUGUGCCUUUUUGUAUGUACCGUAUGAAUAAGGAUCGGCUAACUCCGUGCCAGCAGCCGCGGUAAUACGGAGGAUCCGAGCGUUAUCCGGAUUUAUUGGGUUUAAAGGGAGCGUAGGCGGACGCUUAAGUCAGUUGUGAAAGUUUGCGGCUCAACCGUAAAAUUGCAGUUGAUACUGGGUGUCUUGAGUACAGUAGAGGCAGGCGGAAUUCGUGGUGUAGCGGUGAAAUGCUUAGAUAUCACGAAGAACUCCGAUUGCGAAGGCAGCCUGCUGGACUGUAACUGACGCUGAUGCUCGAAAGUGUGGGUAUCAAACAGGAUUAGAUACCCUGGUAGUCCACGCCGUAAACGAUGUCGACUUGGAGGUUGUGCCCUUGAGGCGUGGCUUCCGGAGCUAACGCGUUAAGUCGACCGCCUGGGGAGUACGGCCGCAAGGUUGAAACUCAAAGGAAUUGACGGGGGCCCGCACAAGCGGAGGAACAUGUGGUUUAAUUCGAUGAUACGCGAGGAACCUUACCCGGGCUUGAAUUGCAACUGAAUGAUGUGGAGACAUGUCAGCCGCAAGGCAGUUGUGAAGGUGCUGCAUGGUUGUCGUCAGCUCGUGCCGUGAGGUGUCGGCUUAAGUGCCAUAACGAGCGCAACCCUUAUCGAUAGUUACCAUCAGGUUAUGCUGGGGACUCUGUCGAGACUGCCGUCGUAAGAUGUGAGGAAGGUGGGGAUGACGUCAAAUCAGCACGGCCCUUACGUCCGGGGCUACACACGUGUUACAAUGGGGGGUACAGAAGGCAGCUACACGGCGACGUGAUGCUAAUCCCGAAAGCCUCUCUCAGUUCGGAUUGGAGUCUGCAACCCGACUCCAUGAAGCUGGAUUCGCUAGUAAUCGCGCAUCAGCCACGGCGCGGUGAAUACGUUCCCGGGCCUUGUACACACCGCCCGUCACACCAUGGGAGUUGGUAACGCCCGAAGUCAGUGACCCAACCUUUUAGGAGGGAGCUGCCGAAGGCGGGACUGAUAACUGGGGUG
rnacentral:rRNA from 1 species